rnacentral:lncRNA from 1 species
GGGAAGAGUAAAAGAAAAGAAAAUGCAAUAGGAAGAAUUUAAUUUAAUGAGAGAAGUACGAUGCAAGAGUAGUGGUUUCUAGUAGAAAAAGUAAGGUUAACAACAGAAGGUCAAGAUUUAACUUCCUUUCUCUUUCUUUUUUUGUCUCGUCUUCCUCUCUACGUUUCACUUAUUUUUCUCUCCAUCGACAUUUAUACAUAUAUUUCCAAUUCUAUUCUUUUUCGCCAUCGAUUUACCUAUCACAUUUUAGACUGCUCUUUUUUUUCUCCUAUUUUCUCCUCUACAUCUCUGUCUCUCGUGGUGUCUCAGUCCUUCACUCAGCGUCCUUCUGCCUUCACUCAUACUCAUCGUUUUCAUUAUUAUUUCUGUCUACAUCUCUCUAUCUCUUUCUCUCUUUACUGCACCUCCAGCUUUGUUCUCUUUCUUUUCAUUUUAAUUCCUUUCAGUUUUCCCCUUCAAACAUACUCACGCUCACUUAUUCUAUCUACAUAUCUUAUUCUUUUCUUCCUUACCUCUUCUCACUCUUUCGUUUCUCACUUAUCACCUCACACUCCCCCUUUGUAUUCUCUCUCUUGUUUCCUUAUACACACUCUCUCCAUUCCUCCUCCCUCCCUUAUUUUUAAAGCUUUCAUCUCAUCCUAUUUCUCUCGAUCAUUCUGCUACUUUUACCUUUUUCCUUCCCGUCACCCCAUUCUCUCUCUCUCAAUCCUACAUAGCAGCAGCAGCAUCUCCUAAUGCUGCAACACUCCAGACUACCCCUCUCAUUAAACGUUAUUGCUGUCCUCUUACUGACGGAGCGGCGGUAGCAGUUAUAAUAAUAAUAAAAAUAUUUCACUGCUGCUUCCUUCGCAUUUUUUCUCGAUUUUCUACGAGCUUUACCCCCCUCUGAAGCUCGAAGCCUUCGCGGAUACAUUAAAAAUAUUACACUCUCACCGCUAUCUUCAUCUAUAUAUAUUUAUACAGACACCGGAUAAAUUGCCUUUAACCAUUUCUUUUUCAAUGAAGACAAUCCUGAACAUGACCUCUGCCUAAAAGGUAGGCAAUUCCCUCUAUUUCUUUGUCCUUGAAGGAGCAACAUUUUAAUGCCGACUUAAAUAAUGGUCGUCUUAGUUGCAGAAGAUACUUGCUUUAAAAAAUAUGGUUGCAUUCUAUAUCGUUUUUUGUAAUCUACUUAUCUGUAUGUCUAUCAAUUUAUCAAUGUAUAAGCUCAAUAUGUUUCUUACAUAUCUACCAAACUAUAUAAGUGGCUAUUUGUCAGUCACCGUCGGACAUCUAUCUAUCUAUCUAUCUAUCUAUCUAUCUAUCUACCCAUCUAUCUAUCUAUCUAUCUAUCUUGUAUAGAUAUAUGUGAAUUGAUCGUUUCAGCUCUAUCUAUCUAUCUAUCUAUCUAUCUAUCUAUCUAUCUAUCUAUCUAUCUAUCUAUCUAUCUAUCUUGUAUAGAUAUAUGUGAAUUGAUCGUUUCAGCUCUAUCUAUCUAUCUAUCUAUCUAUCUAUCUAUCUAUCUAUCUAUCUAUCUAUAUAUCUAUCUGUUUAUCUGUCUGUCUGUCUGUCCAGAUAGAUAGAUAGAUCCAAGUAUGUCUGCGUAGAUCAAUCAAUCAAUCAAUGCAAGUCCAUGUACCUGUAUCUAUGUGUGUGUGUGUGUGUAUGUAUGUAUGUAUAUAUAUAUAUAUAUAUAUAUAUAUAUAUAUAUAUAUAUAUAUAUACUGUAUAUGUAUCCAUCUUCAUUCGAUCUAUCAAUGUAUUCUUAUCUCAUACACUCUGUUUGACUUUCUCGCUCUCUCUCUCUCUCUCUCUGUCUAUCUAUCUAUUUAUCUAUCUACAAUUUACAUUAGAACUGUAGCUACAUGUUUACAUUUUAAAACGAAGUUAAACAUGCUAUUACAAAGAAUAGGUAUAUCAGAGAAAAUAGAAAUAGAAAUGUGAAAAUAGGUCUCUGAAAAUGUAAACAAAUUAUAUGUAUAUAUGAGAGUACGUGUAUGUAUGAAUAUAUAUGUGCAUAUCUGUUUCUGUCUUUUUAUGUAUGUGUAACUAUGUCUAUCUAUCUAUCUAUCUAUCUAUCUAUCUAUCUAUCUAUCUAUCUAUCUAUCUAUCUAUCUAUCUAUCUAUGUAUAUGUAUGUGUGUGUCUGCUUAUCUAUCUCUGUCUCUUUAUGUAUGUGUAUUUAUGUACAUAUAUAUGCUUCAAUAUCUAUGUGAAUUUCUCUGUCUGUUGGCACUGAUCAAAGCGCCAGUGUACGAAACUUUCGACCCUUGAGUCACUAAUUCUACGGUUAAUAUUAUUAUUAUUAUUAUUAUUAUUAUUAUUAUUAUUAUUAUUAUUAUUAUGUGUGUAUACAAAUGUAUAUAUGCAUGUAUGUUCAUAAAUGUAUAUCCGCGUGUAAGCAAUAUAAAUGUAUAUACAUUUAUGCCUACAUAUCUCUGUGUAUGCAUAUAUAUAUAUAUAUAUAUAUAUAUAUAUAUAUAUAUGUAUGUAUCUAUAAAUAUGAAAAUAUGUGUAUGUAC